GUCGUCCUGCACACCUCGUAAUUGUACACGUGUUGGAGAGUCCCUGUCCCCAAAGUGUCUGAGUAACGUGGUGGAUAAUAUGGAAUCACAGGGAGAUUGGAGUGAUACAGGAUGCGAGACUGUCUCCAUCUGUAGAUUUUCACUGAUAUAAUAACCACUAAACACGUGAUGAAGAGGAAGGAAACUACAGCCAGAGCCAAAACUAAGUAAAAAGUCAGGUUGUCAUUGUACUCCUUGUCCUGGGUAAAGUCAGUGAACUCCGACAGAACUUCAGGGAAGCUGUCCG